GACGUAGGGCGCGAGCGUUGUCCGGAUUUAUUGGGCGUAAAGAGCUCGUAGGCGGCGCGGUAAGUCGGGUGUGAAAUCUCGGAGCUUAACUCCGAAACUGCAUUCGAUACUGCCGUGCUUGAGGACUGGAGAGGAGACUGGAAUUUACGGUGUAGCGGUGAAAUGCAUUGAGAUCGGAAAGAACACCAACGGCGAAAGCACUCUGCUGGGCCGACACUGACACUGAGAGACGAAAGCUAGGGGAGCAAAUGGG
rnacentral:rRNA from 1 species